UGACUGUCUGUAAGAGGGGUUUAGGGUUUAGGGUUUAGGGGUGAGAGGGCGGCUGUAAGAACCCUUGCCUUGGCGUAGGGGAAAACGGUGACGGCAGACAGAGAACAUUUGGGGAUCCCGGGUGCCGGCUGCGUCCGGUGGCUGGCGGCGGCGUCCGUCGUGUAUUGGCACCAUUACUACCGAUUACGAAAUCUUCGAGAGAGGAGACGGGUGCGGGGAGCGGUGCCCAAACUCAACCAUUCCACCGUGCGUAGCAAUCGAGGCAGCGGCGUGUCUGCAACACGGGCGGCACGGCGGCGGAGGCACAUCCGCAUCAUAGGUAUGUCGCGUCUGCAAACGAGGACAGCGAGGCACGUCUGUAAGCGAGGCCAUCGUCGGUCCUCUGACUCGUCAGCUUCACCACGUACGUUAUCUCCUUCUACGUCAGCUCGAUGGACGAGGGCACUACCUUUCAAUAUCGCACAACACUUGACUUCUUGUUAAAUGGAUUUAUCUUCCUGGGAGGCACGAUCAUUUUGUGUUUUUUGUAGCUCUAGUUGUGUUAAGACCUAAAAUUAUUAGAGCUUGUGAACGGAUUGUUACAUUCUUGUGCUACAGCUAAGGCUUUGUUCAGUUAUUUCAAUUCCACGUGGAUUGGUGUGUAUUGGAAUAGAUUUUAACUUACUAUGAAUUUAAACCGACUCAAUAUCACCCAAUCUAAAUGGAUUAAUGGCGAAACGAAUAAGCCCAAA